GAAGCCGGGGGUUAUAGUCGACGUUGGUUGAUUAUUUUUAACGUCUCUAAUUCAAAACCGAACAUGAAAUUUUGAUUUCAUUCGGCUCCUUUUUACGCGGUAGGGAUUGCAAUUUUUUCUCGCAUUUUCGUUUUUUCACUCAAACUCAAGGGAGAAACUUUGCUUCUUAUCUUUUUUUUUUAA
rnacentral:rRNA from 1 species